UCCCAGCAGCCAGGAAGGUUGAGGUGGCGGGGCAGAGCUCUGAAACAGAUUUUUGCCCCCUGGUAGAUGACACAGGCAGAAACAGGUACCCAAAGAGGGAUCAGGCAGUUGCCAUUUAGAAACCUGGAGAGCCUCGCAGCCAGACAUAGAAGUGGGGGCCUUAGUGUCUGCUUCCAUCGCCCCAAAAGGAUCCUGCUGUCAUUCCCAUUUCAUUUUGGCUUAUAUGGUGUCAACAGAGGG
rnacentral:lncRNA from 1 species